UACGGGGGGGAGCAAGCGUUGUUCGGAUUUACUGGGCGUAAAGGGCGCGUAGGCGGUCAGCACAAGUCAGUUGUGAAAUCUCCGGGCUUAACUCGGAAAGGUCAACUGAUACUGUGCGACUAGAGUGCAGAAGGGGCAACUGGAAUUCUCGGUGUAGCGGUGAAAAUGCGUAGAUAUCGAGAGGAACACCUGCGGCGAAGGCGGGUUGCUGGGCUGACACUGACGCUGAUGCGCGAAGCCAGGGGAGCGAACGGG
rnacentral:rRNA from 1 species